rnacentral:misc_RNA from 1 species
UUUCCGUAGGUGAACCCGCGGAAGGAUCAUUAUUGAAUGAAACACUUCUGGCUUUAUGCUGUUGUGCUGGCCCUUUGGGCAAUGUGCACACGGCUCUGGUCACUUGUUUCUUCUGUUCCACCUGUGCACUGCCUGUAGACACGCUGUGUCUAUGAUAUUUGUUAACACACAACAAUGUUAGUUGGCAUGUUAUAUAUAAUAAUAAAAUAUACAACUUUCAACAACGGAUCUCUUGGCUCUC